ensembl:lncRNA novel transcript
GCGCCUCCCAACCCUGAAGCCCGCCCUGGAAGCGAAAUCCUUGCCUGGGCUCCCAGGCUGAGCCGGAGGACCCCGGGGGUUCACCUAGCCCUCUGGGAUAAGGGGCUUUAGUCUCUAUAUUCUUUGGGCUUGGGGGUUGGGGACAGUGGGAGGAUUAAUUAUGGAGGCAAGGUCAGAGGAAAAGGGAAAAAUGGGAAAGAUUUUAUUUAAAGCCCCUGGUCAUUCUUGCCUUUCCGCCCGCCCACCACGACCCCUCAAGCCAGAUGCCGUCUCUAGUUCGGGAGCGUUGGAUGAGGAUGCCAGGCACUCUGCUUUUCCUAAACAACUUCCAAGAACCCCGGAACAUUUCUUAAAGUGUCUGGAACGAAGCUUUAACCUCGCCUGCUCCAUCAGCCUGGGACGGAAAAGACGCGAGGGGCGAAGAAGAGGUGGGGCACGGGGAGCCCGGGCCGUUCGGCUCAGCGGCAGAGUCAGUCCAUCCAAUAGGCAGGAGCCCAAAAGACUGUCCACGGACAGCUGUCCUCUCGCCCAGGAGAGUGGGGCUGCACACAGCAGCAGGCCCAGGAGGAAAUCGUGCUUUGAUAGCCCCAGGCAUCGUAUUUCAUCGUAUUUCACAAUUAGGUCUACAAGCCAGGUUCAAGGCCACCAACUGAGGCACCUGUCCCGAGACAGGACCAUUCUAAUCUGCCCUGAAAAGGACAUCCCAUUGAUCAUACUAAAUUUGUGGAUGGAUACCUAUCUGUUGACCAGACCCUCCCUCUUCAAUGAAAACUGCCUCUCCUUCCACUCCAUCUGUGAGGCACCCUUGGAUGCUGACAUGUGCUUACAUAGGACUUCCUGUCCACAGCCAGAAUUAGCCAGAAUUCACUGACCCAUGGUUGGACUCCUAAAAUACUCAAGAUGAGAGACAUGUUACUUUUCUUUACUAUAGUAACUAUCAAAUGCAUCCCAUAACCUUAUGUUGUAAAUGUCAAAUAUGCACAAUAAAAUUUAUUUGAAAAAAUAAA